AUAUUAUUUUUAUGUCUUUCCUAUAUGUCUUUAGAUUAUUGUUGUAUAUUUGUUAAAACUUUUCUCAUUUUGACCAGUAUCGAAAUGUUACAACUUUGCUUAGCCGUGAUUGCAGUGUUCAAAGGAGGCACCAAAAGACUUCUUUUGAAAAGAAAUCUACUCUGGCUAAGGACGAGGCUGAACUUUCAAUAUUG